rnacentral:rRNA from 1 species
UAGGGAAUAUUGGACAAUGGGCAACCCUGAUCCAGCCAUGCCGCGUGAGUGAAGAAGGCCCUCGGGUUGUAAAGCUCUUUUGUCCGGAAAGAAAAGCUUCGGGUUAAUACCCCGGGGUUCUGACGGUACCGGAAGAAUAAGCACCGGCUAACUUCGUGCCAGCAGCCGCGGUAAUACGAAGGGUGCAAGCGUUACUCGGAAUUACUGGGCGUAAAGCGUGCGUAGGUGGUUGUUUAAGUCUGAUGUGAAAGCCCUGGGCUCAACCUGGGAAUGGCAUUGGAAACUGGGCAGCUAGAGUGCGGUAGAGGGUAGUGGAAUUCCCGGUGUAGCAGUGAAAUGCGUAGAGAUCGGGAGGAACAUCUGUGGCGAAGGCGACUGCCUGGACCAGCACUGACACUGAGGCACGAAAGCGUGGGGAGCAAACA